rnacentral:rRNA from 4 species
GUUUGUUUGGAGUUAUAAAGAAUUUGACCUGCCCCCUGAUUAACUAUUAAAGGGCCGCAGUAUUAUAACUGUGCAAAGGUAGCAUAAUCAUUAGGUUUUUAAUUGAAAUCUCGUAUGAAUGGUUGGACAAAAGAAAGACUCUCUUUAUAUUAAGUUUUGAAUUUAACUUUUAAGUGAAAAGGCUUAAAUAUUCUAAAGGGACGAUAAGACCCUAUAAAACUUUACAUUGUUAUUAGUUUUGAUUGAAUUUAUGAAAUAAGAAUUUUAUUUGAUUAUUUGUUAUGUUGGGGAGACACAAGUAAAAUAUUUUUUUAACUGCUUGACAAUUAUACAAUUAUUAGUGAGUAAGUAGAAGAUCCUUUUUAAGAUUAGUAGAUUAAGUUACUUUAGGGAUAACAGUGUAAUUUCUUUUGAGAGUUCUUAUCGAAAAAGAAGGUUGCAACCUCGAUGUUGAAUUAAAAUAUCUAUAUAAUGGAGAGGUUAUAUAAGAAGGUCUGUUCGACCUUGAAAUUUUUACAUGAUUUGAGUUCAAACCGGUGUGAG